rnacentral:rRNA from 1 species
CGGGUCUCCGGGCCUGACGAGAGAAAUCUCCCGGUGGAAAAGCAAACUCCUCGGGUCCGCUCCGGCGUGGCCCGAACCCCUUCGGUGAAACUGUCCUCGGGCGAGAAGCAACCCCGACGGGUACCUGCCGGUCCCCGUCCCCGUCCGCCUCUAGGGGUGCGGGGACCGUAGGUUCAAAGACCCCUCCCCCGGGGGGGGGCGCCCGUCCGGGUCUCGCUCUUUUCUAUUUUUCCCCAUUCUCGGUCAGUGUUGAUCGGCCAACCUCAAACGAAAAAAGAGUA